rfam:Asian citrus Psyllid, Diaphorina citri - Florida Strain, whole genome shotgun sequence.
GCUUACUUAGCUUGGAGGUUAGAACGUCUGCCUUGUAAGCGCUAGGCCGCGGGUUCGAUUCCCGCCCGAAGCG